rnacentral:rRNA from 1 species
UACGUAGGCAGCAAGCGUUGUUCGGAAUUACUGGGCGUAAAGAGUGUGUAGGCGGUGCUCUAAGUUCGGUGUGAAAUCUCCCGGCUUAACUGGGAGGGUGCGCCGGGAACUGGAGUGCUUGAGCGCGGGAGAGGAAAGCGGAAUUCCUGGUGUAGCGGUGAAAUGCGUAGAUAUCAGGAGGAACACCUGUGGUGUAGACGGCUUUCUGGACCGUAGCUGACGCUGAGACACGAAAGCGUGGGUAGCAAACAGG